UGAGAUGGAGGUGGAGUUGAUGU
rnacentral:piRNA from 1 species